UACGAAGGGUGCAAGCGUUACUCGGAAUUACUGGGCGUAAAGCGUGCGUAGGCGGUUUGUUAAGUCUGUCGUGAAAGCCCUGGGCUCAACCUGGGAAUUGCGAUGGAUACUGGCAGCUAGAGUACGGUAGAGGAUGGUGGAAUUCCCGGUGUAGCGGUGAAAUGCGUAGAGAUCGGGAGGAACACCCGUGGCGAAGGCGGCCAUCUGGACCAGUACUGACGCUGAGGCACGAAAGCGUGGGGAGCAAACAGGG
rnacentral:rRNA from 1 species